GGGUCGUUAGCUCAGUUGGUAGAGCGCCUGCUCGACACGCAGGAGGUCGCUGGUUCGAACCCAGCACGACCCACCA
rnacentral:tRNA from 1 species